rnacentral:misc_RNA from 1 species
GAAAGUAAAAGUCGUAACAAGGUCUCCGUUGGUGAACCAGCGGAGGGAUCAUUAUCGAGUUUAUAACUCCCAAACCCUAUGUGAACUUACCACUUGUUGCUUCGGCGCGCGCUUCGGUGCCGCCGAGGACACUUAAACUCUUUGUUUUUAUAAGCAUUUCUGAGUGGCCGAAAGGCAAAAUACAAAUGAAUCAAAACUUUCAACAACGGAUCUCUUGGUUCUG